rnacentral:rRNA from 1 species
AACGAACGCUGGCGGCAUGCCUAACACAUGCAAGUCGAACGAGACCUUCGGGUCUAGUGGCGCACGGGUGCGUAACGCGUGGGAACCUGCCCUUAGGUUCGGAAUAACUCCCCGAAAGGGGUGCUAAUACCGGAUAAUGUCUUCGGACCAAAGAUUUAUCGCCUUUGGAUGGGCCCGCGUUGGAUUAGCUAGUUGGUAGGGUAAAAGCCUACCAAGGCGACGAUCCAUAGCUGGUCUGAGAGGAUGAUCAGCCACACUGGGACUGAGACACGGCCCAGACUCCUACGGGAGGCAGAAGGGGGGAAUAUUGGACAAUGGGCGAAAGCCUGAUCCAGCAAUGCCGCGUGAGUGAUGAAGGCCUUAGGGUUGUAAAGCUCUUUUACCCGGGAUGAUAAUGACAGUACCGGGAGAAUAAGCUCCGGCUAACUCCGUG